rnacentral:rRNA from 1 species
UGAGACUAUAAGUCUCCUGAAGGAACGUUGAAGACGACGACGUUGAUAGGCCGGGUGUGUAAGCGCAGCGAUGCGUUGAGCUAACCGGUACUAAUGAACCGUGAGGCUUAACCUUACAACGCCGAAGCUGUU